rfam:Loxodonta africana unplaced genomic scaffold scaffold_44, whole genome shotgun sequence.
ACAAAGGCUCUUUUAAGAGCCACCCAUUCUUUCAAGCUUAAGAGUU